rnacentral:rRNA from 1 species
CGGCGAGUGAAGAGGGAAAAGCUCAAAUUUUAAAUCUACCUGGUUCCCAGGUCGAAUUGUAAUUUGAAGAAGCGAUAUCUGUGUUGAGGUCUGGUUCAAGUUCUUUGGAACAAGACAUCACGGAGGGUGAGAAUCCCGUGCAUGAUCAGACCAAGAUACUUAAUAUUCGUUUUCUAGGAGUCGAGUUGUUUGGGAAUGCAGCUCAAAUUGGGUGGUAGACUUCACCUAAGGCUAAAUAUCAGCGAGAGACCGAUAGCGAACAAGUACUGUGAAGGAAAGAUGAAAAGCACUUUGAAAAGAGAGUUAAAUAGUACGUGAAAUUGUUGAAAGGGAAACGAUUGAAGUCAGUCAUGCUAGUGAAAAUUCAGUUUGACGGGUUUUGGGUUUAGGAGUAAGAGGUAGGGUUAAACCGUCUCUCUUUUAAACUUGGGAUUUGUCGGAUGCACUUUUUCUUUGGCAGGUCAGCGUCGAUUUCGAGGGUUGUAAAAUACUUGGGGGAAAGUAGCUCUGCUUCGGGAGAGUGUUAUAGACCUUGGGAGAUGCAGCCCGUGGGAUCGAGGAUUGCAGCAAAUGCCUUUGGCUUGUCUUCUGAUCUUUGGUUGUUACCUCGUUUAUGACAACAUUCUUGUCAUCGAUGAGUUCUAAUGGUUGUGGGUUAGAA